AUUCCCCUAGUAACUGCGAGUGAAGCGGGAAAAGCUCAAAUUUAAAAUCUGGUGGUCUUUGGCCAUCCGAGUUGUAAUUUAGAGAAGCGACUUCCGCGCUGGACCGUGCACAAGUCUCCUGGAAUGGAGCGUCAUAGAGGGUGAGAAUCCCGUCUUUGGCACGGAUGCACCAGGGCUUUUGUGAUGCGCUCUCGAAGAGUCGAGUUGUUUGGGAAUGCAGCUCAAAAUGGGUGGUGAACUCCAUCUAAAGCUAAAUAUUGGCGAGAGACCGAUAGCGAACAAGUACCGUGAGGGAAAGAUGAAAAGCACUUUGGAAAGAGAGUGAAACAGUACGUGAAAUUGUUGAAAGGGAAACGCUUGAAGUCAGUCGCGUCGGUCGAGACUCAGCCUUGCCUUGGCUUGGCGUACUUCUUGGCUGACGGGUCAGCAUCAAUUUUGCCCCUCGAAUAAUGGCAAGGGAAAUGUGACACCUUUUACAGGUGUGUUAUAGUCUCUUGUCGCAUGCGAGGGUCAGGAUUGAGGAACUCAGCACGCGCCUUUGGGUGUCGGGGCCUUGGCCCACGAAACGUGCUUAGGAUGUUGGCGUAAUGGCUUUAAGCGACCCGUCUUGAAACACGGACCAAGGAGUCUAACAUGCCCGCGAGUGUUUGGGUGGAAAACCCAUGCGCGCAAUGAAAGUGAAAGUUGGGACCUCCGUCGUGGAGGGCACCGACGCCCGGACCAGACCUUCUGUGACGGAUCUGCGGUAGAGCGUGUAUGUUAGGACCCGAAAGAUGGUGAACUAUGCCUGAAUAGGGUGAAGCCAGAGGAAACUCUGGUGGAGGCUCGUAGCGAUUCUGACGUGCAAAUCGAUCGUCAAAUUUGGGUAUAGGGGCGAAAGAC
rnacentral:rRNA from 1 species